AGGUACGUGCGGCAGCAUGGCGUCGAGAGUCGUCGUCGGGUUCCUUCCGUAAACCAGCUUUAACGGCGUGAUCUGUGUUGUUUCUUCCACUGCCGUGUUCUAAGCAAAUGUUACGUACGGAAGGGCGACAUCCCACUUCUUGAGUU
rnacentral:lncRNA from 1 species